rnacentral:rRNA from 1 species
UGGGGAAUUUUGCGCAAUGACCGAAAGGUUGACGCAGCAACGCCGCGUGUAUGAUGAAGGCUUUCGGGUCGUAAAGUACUUUCAGUGGGGAAGAACUGCAUAAUCAGUAACUGGGUUAUGAUUGACGGUACCCACAGAAGCAGCCCCGGCUAACUCCGUGCCAGCAGCCGCGGUAAUACGGAGGGGGCAAGCGUUGUUCGGAGUCACUGGGCGUAAAGAGCUCGUAGGCGGCAGUGUAAGUCGGGAGUUAAAGGCAACAGCUCAACUGUUGUAAGGCUUCUGAAACUACAUUGCUAGAGUGCCAGAGAGGUAUGCGGAAUUCCCUGUGUAGCGGUGAAAUGCGUAGAUAUAGGGAGGAACACCGGUUGCGAAGGCGGCAUACUGGCUGGUAACUGACGCUGAGGAGCGAAAGCGUGGGGAGCAAACA